GACGAACGCUGGCGGCGUGCUUAACACAUCCAAGCCGAACGGAAAGGCCCUGCUUUUGUGGGGUGCUCGAGUGGCGAACGGGUGAGUAAAACGUGAGUAACCUGCCCUUGACUUUGGGAUAACUUCAGGAAACUGGGGCUAAUACCGGAUAGGAGCUCCUGCUGCAUGGUGGGGGUUGGAAAGUUUCGGCGGUUGGGGAUGGACUCGCGGCUUAUCAGCUUGUUGGUGGGGUAGUGGCUUACCAAGGCUUUGACGGGUAGCCGGCCUGAGAGGGUGACCGGCCACAUUGGGACUGAGAUACGGCCCAGACUCCUACGGGAGGCAGCAGUGGGGAAUAUUGCACAAUGGGCGGAAGCCUGAUGCAGCAACGCCGCGUGCGGGAUGACGGCCUUCGGGUUGUAAACCGCUUUCGCCUGUGACGAAGCGUGAGUGACGGUAAUGGGUAAAGAAGCACCGGCUAACUACGUG
rnacentral:rRNA from 1 species